rnacentral:rRNA from 1 species
UACGUAGGGGGCUAGCGUUGUCCGGAUUUAUUGGGCGUAAAGAGCGUGUAGGCGGCCAGGUAGGUCCGUUGUGAAAACUCGAGGCUCAACCUCGAGACGUCGGCGGAAACCCUUUGGCUAGAGUCCGGAAGAGGAGAGUGGAAUUCCUGGUGUAGCGGUGAAAUGCGCAGAUAUCAGGAAGAACACCAAUGGCGAAGGCAGCUCUCUGGGACGGUACUGACGCUGAGACGCGAAAGCGUGGGGAGCGAACAGG